UACGGGGGGGGCAAGCGUUGUUCGGAAUUACUGGGCGUAAAGGGCGUGUAGGCGGCCAACUAAGUCCGACGUGAAAUCCCCAGGCUUAACCUGGGAACUGCGUCGGAUACUGGAUGGCUUGAAUCCGGGAGAGGGAUGCGGAAUUCCAGGUGUAGCGGUGAAAUGCGUAGAUAUCUGGAGGAACACCGGUGGCGAAGGCGGCAUCCUGGACCGGUACUGACACUGAACCGCGAAAGCUAGGGGAGCAAACGGG
rnacentral:rRNA from 1 species